UAUACCGCGAAGGUUUGAGUAACAUGUCGUUGCUCUGCGUUUUAAUGGACAAUAAAUGGAGAACUGUUUAAACGAACGCAAUGCGUGUAUGGACUUUAUCUCGCUGACGGUAAUCACCUUAAAAGAUCUAAGCGCGUCAACCAGGUUAUUCCUGGGGUACAACAACCCAGUAGCUCAGUAGUGUACUGUGCUCCCACAAUGUGCUCAAGUGACUAGAUGAUAUGGAGUUUUGAGAAUGAUAUACUAUCAUACUAUAUUUCAGUACAUUGUGUUUUCUCUGCUUUAGCGAUCAGGGUGAUGGAACAGCAGGAUGAGAUCACCCAAUUUAAGAGCAGACUAUCCAAGGUCAAACAGGAUUCUUCCCAGAAGAUUGCUGGAGUAGAGGCAGAACUGGAGAGGUAGAGGCAGGAGAUCAAUGAGAUAAAAGUACAGGACUGUAAAUAUGGUAAAAGAAGUAAGUAGAACACAGAUUGUUUCAAAUUAUUCCAAAUACAAAGCAAUUCUAUUCUUAGAAUUCAAAUACAUUUUUUCUGUUUUCAGUGGAAGAGAUUGCCACAUUGGAGAAAGAAGCCAGAGACUUGCAGGCCAAAUUAAAGCGUCUCAGAUAGUCCUCUGAGAGAGAUAUUGCAGGUGAUGAAUAAUUUCAGUCAUAUAUAGCAAAUAGUUUUCAUAGUGAAAACUGUUUCAACUGGGAGUGGAAACAUUCUCCCAACACAUCGUAGGUUGAUUAAGGGUUGAUUUUAACGGUUGCUGUUAACUAUGUGCUGAUGUUAGAUUUGGAAAAGCGUCUCAAGGAGAAAGAGGAGGAUCUAGUAGUCAGAAGCCAGUAGUCAGACACUGGAGAGUCUGUGUAACGACCCUCACUCUCAUGUGUAUCAGUGACAGGGAAUCGGACCAGCACAGUGGCUUUUAUUGUCUGCAUUCACAAUAGAAACAAAUAAUCCAUAAAAUCUUUACUGCAAACUCGACUGCUUACGUACGUCUCAAACAGGGAUAGACUAGCUCCAAGGUACGGGAAGCGCAAACCCUGCCUUACUGGCUAACCUCAUGCAUUGCAAAGCAUUCUAAAUUAUAUGGAAAUCAGAAUGCACGGCUCGUAAAUCUUCGUGCAAACCAAAGGACUAAAUAAACCAAACAAAAAGACAGACA
rnacentral:lncRNA from 1 species